rnacentral:rRNA from 1 species
UGGGGAAUUUUGCACAAUGGGCGCAAGCCUGAUGCAGCGACGCCGCGUGAGGGAUGAAGGCCUUCGGGUUGUAAACCUUUUUCGCUCAUGGUCAAGCCGCAGCUUUGGGUUGUGGUGAGGGUAGUGGGUAAAGAAGCGCCGGCUAACUACGUGCCAGCAGCCGCGGUAAUACGUAGGGCGCGAGCGUUGUCCGGAAUUAUUGGGCGUAAAGGGUUCGCAGGCGGAAAUGCAAGUCAGGUGUAAAAGGCAGUAGCUUAACUACUGUAAGCAUUUGAAACUGCAUAUCUUGAGAAGAGUAGAGGUAAGUGGAAUUUUUAGUGUAGCGGUGAAAUGCGUAGAUAUUAAAAAGAAUACCGGUGGCGAAGGCGACUUACUGGGCUCAUUCUGACGCUGAGGAACGAAAGCGUGGGUAGCAAACAGG